rnacentral:rRNA from 1 species
ACACAUGCAAGUCGAACGAGCGAGAGAGAGCUUGCUUUCUCAAGCGAGUGGCGAACGGGUGAGUAACGCGUGAGGAACCUGCCUCAAAGAGGGGGACAACAGUUGGAAACGACUGCUAAUACCGCAUAAGCCCACAGGUCGGCAUCGACCAGAGGGAAAAGGAGCAAUCCGCUUUGAGAUGGCCUCGCGUCCGAUUAGCUAGUUGGUGAGGUAAUGGCCCACCAAGGCAACGAUCGGUAGCCAGACUGAGAGGUUGAACGGCCACAUUGGGACUGAGACACGGCCCAGACUCCUACGGGAGGCAGCAGUGGGGAAUAUUGCACAAUGGGGGAAACCCUGAUGCAGCGACGCCGCGUGGAGGAAGAAGGUCUUCGGAUUGUAAACUCCUGUUGUUGAGGAAGAUAAUGACGGUACUCAACAAGGAAGUGACGGCUAACUACGUGCCAGCAGCCGCGGUAAAACGUAGGUCACAAGCGUUGUCCGGAAUUACUGGGUGUAAAGGGAGCGCAGGUGGGAAGACAAGUUGGAAGUGAAAUCUAUGGGCUCAACCCAUAAACUGCUUUCAAAACUGUUUUUCUUGAGUAGUGCAGAGGUAGGCGGAAUUCCCGGUGUAGCGGUGGAAUGCGUAGAUAUCGGGAGGAACACCAGUGGCGAAGGCGGCCUACUGGGCACCAACUGACGCUGAGGCUCGAAAGUGUGGGUAGCAAACAGGAUUAGAUACCCUGGUAGUCCACACCGUAAACGAUGAUUACUAGGUGUUGGAGGAUUGACCCCUUCAGUGCCGCAGUUAACACAAUAAGUAAUCCACCUGGGGAGUACGACCGCAAGGUUGAAACUCAAAGGAAUUGACGGGGGCCCGCACAAGCAGUGGAGUAUGUGGUUUAAUUCGACGCAACGCGAA